rnacentral:misc_RNA from 1 species
UUGAAUUUUAAUGAAGGAUUUGGUUGUAGCUGGUCCAUUCAUUUGGGCAUGUGCACACCUUCCUCUUUCAUCCCACACACACCUGUGAACCUGUGAGACAGAGAUGGGGAAUUUACUUGCUGCUUUUUGGAAUACAAAGGCAAUAGGUUAUUGGACCCCCCCUCUGUCUACUCAAUUAAUAUAAACUCAAUUUAUUUUAAAACGAAUGUAAUGGAUGUAACACAUCUCAUAC